rnacentral:rRNA from 1 species
GAGCGGUAAGGCCUUUCGGGGUACACGAGCGGCGAACGGGUGAGUAACACGUGGGUGAUCUGCCCUGCACUUCGGGAUAAGCCUGGGAAACUGGGUCUAAUACCGGAUAUGACCUCAGGUUGCAUGACUUGGGGUGGAAAGAUUUAUCGGUGCAGGAUGGGCCCGCGGCCUAUCAGCUUGUUGGUGGGGUAAUGGCCUACCAAGGCGACGACGGGUAGCCGACCUGAGAGGGUGACCGGCCACACUGGGACUGAGACACGGCCCAGACUCCUACGGGAGGCAGCAGUGGGGAAUAUUGCACAAUGGGCGAAAGCCUGAUGCAGCGACGCCGCGUGAGGGAUGACGGCCUUCGGGUUGUAAACCUCUUUCAGCAGGGACGAAGCGCAAGUGACGGUACCUGCAGAAGAAGCACCGGCUAACUACGUGCCAGCAGCCGCGGUAAUACGUAGGGUGCAAGCGUUGUCCGGAAUUACUGGGCGUAAAGAGUUCGUAGGCGGUUUGUCGCGUCGUUUGUGAAAACCAGCAGCUCAACUGCUGGCUUGCAGGCGAUACGGGCAGACUUGAGUACUGCCAGGGGAGACUGGAAUUCCUGGUGUAGCGGUGAAAUGCGCAGAUAUCAGGAGGAACACCGGUGGCGAAGGCGGGUCUCUGGGCAGUAACUGACGCUGAGGAACGAAAGCGUGGGUAGCGAACAGGAUUAGAUACCCUGGUAGUCCACGCCGUAAA